GUGCUCAAUUUGGCAGCACAUAUACUAAAAUUGGAACAAUACAGAGAAUAUUAUCAUGGCCCCUGUGCAAUGAUGACAUGCAUAUUUUUGAAGCAUUUUAUAUUUUA
ensembl:snRNA U6 U6 spliceosomal RNA